GCCACCGUCCCAUACUUGUCCACCUCGGGCAUGUUCAUGUCGUCGAUGAAGUAGACGAGCUUCUUAGUGCCUGGCGGCCCGUAGUUCCUCCCCGAUUUCUUCUCCAGCGGCUUCUCCAGCACCCCUAGAGAGGGCAGAGGGUCAGCUGCCCGCCUGCGCCUCCUGAGCCAGAGCCUGUUAGGUAGGGAGGGGCGCUACCUGCUUCCCCGGAGGACAGAAGGUGGGACCUGGCUGGGAUCCAAGUUUACCAAAGCCCUACCCUCCAGCACUCCAAGGCAGGACUCGCCUCACUUCUGGCGCCUCCUGCUGCCUCCUCCAUACCUCAUUGCCAUCUGGCUCUGCCCUCAACACGCCCUGAAGCUGUUCUCCCUGAGUGAUGGAGAUGCGCCUAGCUCCCAAAUGCAAUGGGAACUCUUCUGUCCUUGGCUUGACUCUGGGUGCCAUCCUACUGAGGUGAUCAGCCCGCCUUGGCCUCCCAAAGUGCUGGGAUUACAGGAGUGAGCCGCUGCGCCCGGCCCUGGAUGCCUUUUAUGAACCACCAGGCUGAACCCUUCUCUGGAUCACGUUUGCUCUGGAGACACACAGGUCCCUGGAGCGGGUGACACACCUGAGAUUUGCCGCUGCCCGCAUUCCCGACGAUGAACACGGAGUGGCGGACCUGCAGCAGCUCCUCCAGCUGCACCACCUUCAGCACGAAGCUGUCCUCCGCCUGCAGCUUGAGCUCCACGAUGCUCUGCUUGAUGAUCUGGGGAGACAUGGAUGAGGCUGGUAGAGACAGGGUUUCACCAUGCUAGCAAGGAUGGUCUCGAUCUCCUGACCUCGUGAUCCGCCCGCCUCGGCCUCCCAAAGUACUGGGAUUACAGGCGUGAGCCACCACGCCCGGCCCCCAGAUGGACUUUUAUCACUCAGCAGAAUUCUCUGGAGAUGCACCCAGGCUGUUGCAGGAACCAGCUUUGGGACCCUGGAGGGCAAGAGCUCAAUGGCACCACACCACCCUUCGGUGCUUGGAACGUUGCAGAGAGGCAAGGAGGGUCUAUCUGGCGUGUGAGGUCACAGGAAAGCUGACGAGCCAGUCACCCGACGUGACCCCGAGGCCGCAGGCAGGGGACUUUACCUGCACGGCAAUCACAGACAAGACUUCCACUGAGAUGCGAUUAAACUCGUCAAAGCAGCCCCAGGCUCCCGUCUGGGCCAGGCCCUUGUAGAUAUUUCCACAGGACUGGAAAGGGCGAGAUGGAGAAAGGAAGAGCUGGGAGGGUGACAGGGAGGGCGGGCGCUGCAGGGGCCUCCCCCUGCCUCUUCGGCUGUGUUUUCUCUUCCCAAAGCUUGCUCAGGCCCCGGUGCAUUGGAGCCUUCCGCAGGCCAGCAGGCAGGUCAGCUUACUGCCCAGGGUAACACCGUGGAGGGCUGGACACGAGGAAGAGCCAUCCUUUCACCCUUGCCUCCCAGACCC
rnacentral:lncRNA from 10 species